CUAAUCUUGACACAUAAACACUGUCAAGUAAAAGUAAUUCUUGACGCUUUUAAAAAUGUUCUCAGACGCUUAAAAACCGUCAACAAAAAUAAAUUAUAUAAUAUAUAAAUUAUUAAUCUCUAACAUUAUUAACAUCACUUUUUUCUCUCAAUUUUUCAUUUAUAAUCAGACCGAUACAAUCUCCCUCUAACCUUCGAUUAGGGCUUUUCUCUGAAUAUUAACUUCUCUUCGACGCCGUACCUCCGCCUCCGCUUCCGCCAUUGCCGCAAAUGCCGAGCCGACAUCUCUGUUGCUAUUUCUUCCCUCAGGAUCGAACUAAUCAUUGUGAUGACAAAUUGAAACAGGCGAAAAUCUUUCAACUCUUCAAGUGUUUUGAAUCGCCCGUGGAUUGCGUGACAGGUUAGUCUCCUCUGUUAUUAUUUUCCAUUUAUAUUAAUUGAUCUCAUUCCAUCCGUGUGGAAUUCAGUAUAGGAAGCUGACAAGUGAUUUUUAGGUUAAUUUGAUUGCUUGAAUUUAAGGGGUCAAGCUAGGAUUUGAAACAAGAGUUUGCAGAUUGUGAGAAUCUAUGACUUGAUUUUUAGAAUUUUACUUAAUUACAGUUUGCUAAUUUUCCAUAGGUUUCAAUUUUUGAUUCUUCCAACUUUUUUGUUUACUAGUGUUGUUAAUUUCUCAGUUUGUGCACAAUGACAAUUUAUUUUACUUACUUUUCUUAUGAUACCAAUGAUUGUGUUUUGAAGGAUGCUUUCGAAGAAUUUGUUUACCGAAAUACUUGUGCAAUCUUCCCCGAGACCAAAGUGGUAAAAUAAACCUAUCUUGAACUCUUCAAGUUUGAGAUUUGUUUAGAAAGUCUAUGUAUCAAGCAUGUAAUAUGGUAUAAAAUCCCAUUGAUAAUGUGCAAAUUAAUUUGGAGUUACGGCUAAAAAAUGGGAUAGUAUAUACACCAUGCUGAGAACUAUUUGUCUUCUGAUUUAGCUCCGUUUCUUCAUUUCAGUUGAGCAAAGGAAAAGUAUCAGCCACUGUAAGUUCACCUGCUUACUUAACGUACUAAUGUCUUUUUCGUUACUUCUCUUUACUUACGGAAAGUGUACAUUAUUUGCAGACACUAAACAGAUUCUCGUGUAUAGCAUUAGCUAGUGGCAACAGAUUUUCUCCAUGGUACUGCAGAAGGAGGCCUUUCGGAUAUCAACACGGUUUCGUUUCUCUCCCAAGAACAAUAAUUUUUUAAUUUCUGAUUAUGGCUAAAAAUAUAUUUCAAGAAAGCUAACAUUCUGAGAAAUAGUUUCUCUAUGCUUGAUUAUUCAGAUUUUAGAUUCAUUUUUUCUUCAUCAAAUUCAUUAGAUUUCUCUCUCUGUGUUGUUUGUUUAUUGUAGUUGUUGGAUGGCAGAAAAUAUAGGCAUUUUUUAUGGCCAAGAAGAGCGAAAGCAAUUAAGUCAGGGAGGACUUGCCAUGGUUCAGUUGUUGGAAUGGUUUGAUAUAUCUUACUCCAUUUCAAUAUAUUUUCAUAAAUAUAUGAUGAGUUAAUUUUAUCCAGCCUUGCUAUCUGAUUUCAAAUUUUUUAUGCCGACUGCUACUUUAUCACUGAAAACUAUAUGAUGAACUUUACAGAUUAGGGGAUUAAGAUCAAAGAUUGGCAACAAUAAAGGGCCUGCUCUAUUGUAUCGGAAUGUCCUGUUUCACCUAGUAAAGUUAUUGGAUUGCUAGUGACAAUAUGCUUCUAUCCAGGUAUUCGUUUCUGCUAAAUGUAUUUACGGUAUAAAUAUUAUAUAGUACAAGCUGUAGCUUUUACGAUAUAAUGCCAGGGCAAGUUCUUGCAUUGCAGCUCACUGGUGUCUCUUAUUUUGUAGGUUAGGUUAGCAUCGCAAUUGUGGGUUGCAACAUUCUUCGCCGAAUAUCAGAAAAAAUCUCAAAAAGACUUUCUUGUUCUCAUUGUCAUAUGUGCUGAACCACUUUUUCUGGGGUUUUAGAAUUUCAUGGUCUUUUGCACAAAAAAAUUUGUAUACAACAAGUUUUAUAAGCUUUAAAAACAUGAAUUUUGCUUACUCGGGAACACUAACUUUUUUUUCGUCUUUGAUUGUUCAGGAACACAUUUUACAUUGGAGCAUGGGAGCAAGGACAUUUUGUUGAACUAUGGAUAUGUAGACUUUGAAAGUAAAUGUAUUGUGUAGGUUACUUCAAGUGUUGUUUUGAAGAUAGAUUUUUUGAAGUUUGGUAUUGUAUAUUUUUGGAAAGCAAGAAUUCAUGUUUUGGGAAAUCCGAGUGAUUUUUA